rnacentral:rRNA from 1 species
GACGAACGCUGGCGGCGUGCUUAACGCAUGCAAGUCGAACGGAAAGGCCCUGCUUUUGUGGGGUGCUCGAGUGGCGAACGGGUGAGUAACACGUGAGUAACCCGCCCUUGACUUUGGGAUAACUUCAGGAAACUGGGGCUAAUACCGGAUAGGAGCUCCUGCUGCAUGGUGGGGGUUGGAAAGUUUCGGCGGUUGGGGAUGGACUCGCGGCUUAUCAGCUUGUUGGUGGGGUAGUGGCUUACCAAGGCUUUGACGGGUAGCCGGCCUGAGAGGGUGACCGGCCACAUUGGGACUGAGAUACGGCCCAGACUCCUACGGGAGGCAGCAGUGGGGAAUAUUGCACAAUGGGCGGAAGCCUGAUGCAGCAACGCCGCGUGCGGGAUGACGGCCUUCGGGUUGUAAACCGCUUUCGCCUGUGACGAAGCGUGAGUGACGGUAAUGGGUAAAGAAGCACCGGCUAACUACGUGCCAGCAGCCGCGGUGAUACGUAGGGUGCGAGCGUUGUCCGGAUUUAUUGGGCGUAAAGGGCUCGUAGGUGGUUGAUCGCGUCGGAAGUGUAAUCUUGGGGCUUAACCCUGAGCGUGCUUUCGAUACGGGUUGACUUGAGGAAGGUAGGGGAGAAUGGAAUUCCUGGUGGAGCGGUGGAAUGCGCAGAUAUCAGGAGGAACACCAGUGGCGAAGGCGGUUCUCUGGGCCUUUCCUGACGCUGAGGAGCGAAAGCGUGGGGAGCGAACAGGCUUAGAUACCCUGGUAGUCCACGCUGUAAACGGUGGGUACUAGGUGUGGGGUCCAUUCCACGGGUUCCGUGCCGUAGCUAACGCUUUAAGUACCCCGCCUGGGGAGUACGGCCGCAAGGCUAAAACUCAAAGGAAUUGACGGGGCCCCGCACAAGCGGCGGAGCAUGCGGAUUAAUUCGAUGCAACGCGUAGAACCUUACCUGGGUUUGACAUGGAUCGGGAGCGCUCAGAGAUGGGUGUGCCUCUUUUGGGGUCGGUUCACAGGUGGUGCAUGGCUGUCGUCAGCUCGUGUCGUGAGAUGUUGGGUUAAGUCCCGCAACGAGCGCAACCCUUGUUCACUGUUGCCAGCACGUUAUGGUGGGGACUCAGUGGAGACCGCCGGGGUCAACUCGGAGGAAGGUGGGGAUGACGUCAAGUCAUCAUGCCCCUUAUGUCCAGGGCUUCACGCAUGCUACAAUGGCUGGUACAGAGAGUGGCGAGCCUGUGAGGGUGAGCGAAUCUCGGAAAGCCGGUCUCAGUUCGGAUUGGGGUCUGCAACUCGACCUCAUGAAGUCGGAGUCGCUAGUAAUCGCAGAUCAGCAACGCUGCGGUGAAUACGUUCCCGGG